CUACACAAGCAGGACAAGUUUGGUGUAUGAAUAGUGGGUUCCGUAUACCAACCUCAGCUGUCCAUGCAGAGAAGUUAUCUGAGUGUGGUCUCAUAUGUGUGCCUUCUAAAAAACGGAACGAUCAAAAGCACAAUGAAAACCAAUUAUUUCAGUUUAAAAGGGUCGUGUUUGAAAGUCAAAUGACUUAGCUUUUAGAAUUGAUGCAUAAACAAAGUACCUGUGUGGCUCUGUUUCCUUUCCAUUACUGAUAUCUGCUGAUUUAAGUGAUAGUCUGCCAGGAGAUGAGCUUUUUUGGGGGGAAGGAGGAUUAUAGUACCUAUGCUUCAAGAGAAAAGAUUGCUGUGACGUCUUUAAGAUUUGUGGGGUAAAAUGUUGUUUUUCUAUGAAGCAAACCGAGUAUUUGUCAAGGAGGUCCCCAGAGUACGUUUUGUUAGAAGAGUUUUGAAAUGCCUUCUUCCUGUUGUGACUGUUUAAAUGCAAAUGAGACUGCUGGAGCUGCAAAGCAGAUGACCUGUCUUUACCAAAGACAGGAGCAGGAUUCUGACACAAGCUAUGCUGAGCAGUCUUCCUUGCAGAAGAAGCUGGCAACAGAGUUCUUGUACCGAGUGCCUGAAAAGAUACAGAGGGAAGCUGCGCUCUCUCUGUCCUGGAAUAGCCAUUUUCCAACAGCAAACACCUCACCUGCAAGUUAGAGAACAAAAUACCCCCCCUUCAAAAAAUCACAAAAGCAAUCUGUUGAUUUCAGUGCCUCCUACAAACUGAUUCACUAAGAAGGAAGUUUAAGAACCAGCUUUCAAACUGCUUUAAGUGGUCUAAAUGACUUGCAGUUAGAAGUAAAGCAGUGCUGUCACUGCGCUACAGCUAGUUAUUAACAUGUCCCUUUUCUAGUUUCCUUUUCCUUCCUUCUCUGUGCAAAGUUGAGGUUUCUCAUGACAGGUACUCUUAGGAAAUUACAGAAAUUCCUCUUUCCUUGCUAGGGUUCACAGAGGGAGAAGAGAUUUUUCCUUCCUUGGUCAUCAUCAUUCUCACGGCAAUCCUCUUUAGGAGCCGUGAGAUGACACCUUCUGCUCACUCUCCUUGAAGGACUAUUCAGGUUUGCAUACAUCUGCACCACUACCAAGUGACCUCGGUUUUCUUCUUGCAGCCUACUGAAGAACUAAGUGCUUGCUGUGCAACACAGAUUGCAUAUUUGGAAAACAAGUCUAUAUCUACAUAAGUGUAUGAGUUGAAAACAGGUAAGAUAUUAUAUCUCACCAGAAUUUGUGUCUUUUAAAACUACUAUGCAUUCUGAUAAG
ensembl:lncRNA